rnacentral:rRNA from 1 species
UACAGAGGGGGCAAGCGUUAUUCGGAAUUAUUGGGCGUAAAGAGCUCGUAGGCGGUUUGUCGCGUCUGCUGUGAAAACUGGAGGCUCAACCUCCAGCCUGCAGUGGGUACGGGCAGACUAGAGUGGCGGUAGGGGAGAUUGGAAUUCCUGGUGUAGCGGUGGAAUGCGCAGAUAUCAGGAGGAACACCGAUGGCGAAGGCAGAUCUCUGGGCCGUAACUGACGCUGAGGAGCGAAAGCAUGGGGAGCGAACAGG